UACGGGGGGGGUAAGCGUUGUUCGGAAUUACUGGGGCGUAAAGGGCUCGUAGGCGGCCCAACUAAGUCAUACGUGAAAUCCCCUCAGCUUAACUGGGGAACUGCGUGUGAUACUGGAUGGCUUGGAUUUGGGAGAGGGAUGCGGAAUUCCAGGUGUAGCGGUGAAAUGCGUAGAUAUCUGGAGGAACACCGGUGGCGAAGGCGGCAUCCUGGACCAAUAUUGACGCUGAGGAGCGAAAGCCAGGGGAGCAAACGGG
rnacentral:rRNA from 1 species